rnacentral:lncRNA from 1 species
AAUAAUUAUUAUUAUUUUAUGAGGGGUUACAUAUUAACAAGCAUGGAUGUAACCAAAAAAAAAUAUUAACAAGCAUGGAUUUUUUUUCACACUAUAAAGCUAACAAAUGAUUCCUAUUCUAGAUUCAUAAAAGAAAAAAUAUGUUAAGGUUAUAUAUGUUUAUUUAUGCUAUGAUUAUAUUGUUUUCCAUAUUUAUUUCAAUAAGAGCAAAUAGCUGUAAGUAAUUUUUUUCAUCGUUAUUAAAUUCGAUGAACUUUGUUAUUUCAAAAUUUAGUUUAAUAAUGGUAUUUUUAUACAAAAUUUAAUAUCAAAUCAUAUUUUUGUAUUAAUUUAUAUGGUUAAAAAAGUUUUUUGUCCCUAUAAAUAUGUCAAAUCUCAUUUUCAAUUCCUAUAAAAAAUUUCAGCAAAUUUUGAUCUUAAAUAAUCUUCGGUAUCGAACUUAGGAACUCAUGCAUACUACUCAAACUCAUCACCACCACCAUACCAAACCUAGUGGUUUGUCAACUCAUCUAUAUUACUUAAAAAAUUUAAUGUGUUUCUGCCUUCAUGUUUAAUACAUUAUAUAAACCUCUCUGACAAAAAAUUAAUUUCCCAAUUAAUCUUUCAUAAUUUUUAAUUAGUUUUUAUAUUUAUAUUUAGAAUAAUAUAAAAAUCUCUCCCUCAAUAAUUUAGUAUUUUACAAUAGAAUGGAUAAAUUAGAUAUGAAUUUCUAAGUUUUUGGUGCUUAAAAAAAAUUAUAUUUAGUUCAUCUAAUUAAAAAAAUUCUAAAUUAUUUGGGAGAACUUUGAGUUUAAGAAUUAUAAGCAGACAGUGUAAAGAAAUAUUACACGGACAACCAAUUAAAAUUCACAAUUUUGACACAUCAUCUUUUAAAUAAAUUUUUGGAAUAAAAAUUAAAAUUAAAUAAAUAUCUACAACCGCCUUCUUCAUCCACAUUCUUGGCUCUUUCUCAUUCCCUUCCUCUUAAAUAGAAAAGAAAAAACAUGUCCACCAUGAACACGCCCAGAUUUGCUGUGAGGCCAAUUUUUUUUUUACAGACGUGAGGCCAAUUUGUUGAUGCUGUUGUUAAUGGCUAAUAAUGGUUGAUGGAUGGAAAUCAUGGCAAAAAUAAGAAAAAAAAUAUGAAGUUUGAUUGGUUGAAUGUGUAAAACUUAUAUUACACUGUCUGCUCAUGUUCUUUAAAUCCGAGAACUUUUUGUAUUAUUAUGAACAUAAAUAUAAAAACUAAUUCAAACAUAUGAAAGUAUUCAUGAGUUGACUUAAAAAUAGGAAUCAAAAUAUUUUGGGAGAUCAAAACUUGCUGAAUUUUUAUUUUUUUUUUUGUCAAAUAGCCUAAUGGUUAGACUCACAUUUAAAUGGGAGACCAAAACCUGAUGAAAUUUUUUAUAUAAAUGAAAUUUUAGAAUAUUUAUAUUGUUCAAAAACUUGUUUAGCCCUAAUUUUUAUUAAAAUAAAUUUAAAUUUUAAAUGAUUUUUGUCUAAAUUUGAUAUAUAUGUAUAAAGAUUCCUAAUAGUAAUUUUUACCUUUAAAUUUUCUUAUUUAAAUUGUUCCAUCCCCAUUUUGAUAACGUUGCUUAAUUCUUUAUCAGUAAUUGGGUGCCGAAAUAAUGAGGAUUGUCGAGAUCAUGUGUGUGAUGAAGCUAACGACGUUCCAUUUUGUGCGUUUCAAUUAGGGAUUUGUGCAUGUUUGGAAAGGCCCACAAUGCACAAAAUAAGUGGCUUGUGAAUGUAUAUACACCAGGAGAUUUUGUCUCUUGUCUUUAUCACUUAGAUUAUAUAGGAAUUCUACGAAUAUAAAAUAAUUAUAAAUUCAAUUAUAUUUAAAUAAAUACAUGUAAAUUUAUUUUGACACUUGUUUCCGCUGUCAAAUAAAAAUAUAUUCAGCUAGUUUUUCAUGGCCUGAAAUUUUUUGGAGUAUGGUUUCUCAUAAAAUUAAAAUAUACUAUGAUUUUUUUUUGCGAUAAAUCUUCUCAAGGAUGGUUGUCCGCAAACUCAUCCUCGUCCGACUCUUUAUGAAAAAUAUACACCAGGUUCAUCAUAAAAAACGGGAUAAUUUUUUUUCUCGGUAAUAUUUAUUUGCUUAUGUUCUAUUUUCUUUUGAAGGUUGUCAAUGUCUUUUUCUUUUUUCAUUUUAUAUUAUUUAGAAGGUUGUCUAUGUUUUUGUAAUGAGACCAAAUAUUACACAGCUUCUAGAAGAGAAUGUGUUAGUAAAAUCACAUGGGGAUCCACAAAAUACGCAUGAGAAGGUUACAACUAAGGAGAAUAACGAAUAAAGCAUAACAAAUAAGGUCAGCAUAACCUUAUUUGCAAACUCUUGAUAUUUCCAACCAACUUAAUUUUUGCAUCAACAAUGUAUAGGAUUGAUUCUUUUUGCAAACUCUUGAUCUUUCCUUCAUGUAGCUCCAUUGUAUUUAUAGGCAAAUAAGACCUUUGGAGGAGCGUAUGAGAGAGGGAUUUGAAAUUCAAAUCCAAUUGACAUGUCACAAAGUUGUGCUCUCAUUUUUACUGUGAAUAGUGCGUUAUCGUUGCUUCAGUAACAUUUUUGUUGGUUCAAUUUGCACUUCACUUUUGUUACAUGGUUUCUAUUGCAUUUACGUGGCCCAUAUAAGUCCAUAAGAAGGAAUCUUUUCCUAAUUAGGGUUGGACAACUUGUAUGCAAGUGGGAGAAAAGCCAUGUGCUUAUUUGUACUUGUUUUGGUGACUCAUUGUCCUUUGUUCAUGAAAGGAUAAACCUUGUUGGAUUCUUGUUCCCUCUAUGUUCCCUUGUUGUUGUUGGCAAAUAUCUUCCAUCCACAAUGUGUAUGUGGAAGUUGCUUUCAAAUGAGGCUUUACACUUUUGGAUCCAAUAAUGGCAAGGCCCGUGAAGAUUAUUUAUUCCAUGUUUGGCAUAACUCCAACAUAAGUGUUUCCUUAAAAUGCUACCAUUCUUGGUGAGACAAAAAGGAAUAUCUUCAUGUGAAGCUUUUAUAUCAUUUAGGUCAAGACUUUAAGUUGCUCCUUUUAUUUCUACUCAUUGCUUGUAUGUUUUGCUUGUCCAUUGGUUCAUCAUCCAUAACUUUAUCGUCCAAGGAAAGUAACAUUAUCGUUGAAACAAUUCUCACAAAACACAUUAGUAGAUAACAAGAUAAUCAUAAUUAAAAUUAAUUAACAUGUUUGUUAUCUUUAAAACAUCAAAUAAGGAUUUUGUCCUCAACAGUUAGAGAUAUGUGAACGAGAGCGAUUGUAGUACCAAAAAAAAGCAUGUGGUAAUUGAAAAACAAGUGGGACUUGCAGGCCAAACUCUUCCAUUUACCAUGUAAUAAAAUCAAUGGGAAAAGAUUUUCAGUUAGACUCUGAUUUCCUUUUACCCCAAGCCAGACUUUUUCUGUCUAAGGUAAUUUUACUUUUGAUUGUAAUGAAAAUCAAUUUUGCAUCGACAUUAUAUUGUUCUUCGACCAUAGGUUGUUUGCCUAAACAGUUUCAAUCCUAGAGUGAUUCGCCAUACAAAGUGCGAACGAUCCUAUACUAGUUCACUAUCUAGAGUGCGAACUGUACCAGUGAAAGUUGUUUGAUAUGAUUGAAACGAAAAG